rnacentral:rRNA from 1 species
CACGUAGGGCGCAAGCGUUGUCCGGAAUUAUUGGGCGUAAAGAGCUCGUAGGUGGUUUGUUACGUCCGCUGUGAAAUCCUAGGGCUUAACCCUGGGCUUGCAGUGGAUACGGGCAGACUAGAGGUAGGUAGGGGAGAAUGGAAUUCCCGGUGUAGCGGUGAAAUGCGCAGAUAUCGGGAGGAACACCGGUGGCGAAGGCGGUUCUCUGGGCCUUACCUGACACUGAGGAGCGAAAGCGUGGGGAGCGAACAGG